AAGGCGAUUCUUCGUCACUUGACGGUACCAGAUGAAUAAGCACCGGCUAACUCCGUGCCAGCAGCCGCGGUAAUACGGAGGGUGCAAGCGUUAUCCGGAUUCACUGGGUUUAAAGGGUGCGUAGGCGGGCAGGUAAGUCAGUGGUGAAAUCCUGGAGCUUAACUCCAGAACUGCCAUUGAUACUAUCUGUCUUGAAUAUUGUGGAGGUAAGCGGAAUAUGUCAUGUAGCGGUGAAAUGCUUAGAUAUGACAUAGAACACCUAUUGCGAAGGCAGCUUACUACGCAUAUAUUGACGCUGAGGCACGAAAGCGUGGGGAUCAAACAGGAUUAGAUACCCUGGUAGUCCACGCCCUAAACGAUGGAUACUCGACAUACGCGAUACACUGUGUGUGUCUGAGCGAAAGCAUUAAGUAUCCCACCUGGGAAGUACGACCGCA
rnacentral:rRNA from 1 species